UGUGUGGACGGGAUAAGUGCUGAAAGCAUCUAAGCAUGAAGCCCCCCUCAAGAUGAGAUUUCCCAACUUCGGUUAUAAGAUCCCUCAAAGAUGAUGAGGUUAAUAGGUUCGAGGUGGAAGCAUGGUGACAUGUGGAGCUGACGAAUACUAAUCGAUCGAAGACUUAAUCAA
rnacentral:rRNA from 1 species